AUUGAACGCUGGCGGAAUGCUUUACACAUGCAAGUCGAACGGCAGCACGGACUUCGGUCUGGUGGCGAGUGGCGAACGGGUGAGUAAUGUAUCGGAACGUGCCCAGUCGUGGGGGAUAACGUAGUGAAAAUUACGCUAAUACCGCAUACGAUCUAUGGAUGAAAGCGGGGGAUCGCAAGACCUCGCGCGAUUGGAGCGGCCGAUAUCAGAUUAGGUAGUUGGUGGGGUAAAGGCCGACCAAGCCAACGAUCUGUAGCCAGUCUGAGAGGACGACCCACCCAACUGGAAAUGAGGAACGGUCCAGACCCCUAAGGGAGGCAAAAGUGGGGAAUUUUGGACAAUGAGCGAAAGCCUGAUCCAGCCAUUCCGCGUGCAGGAUGAAGGCCCUCGGGUUGUAAACUGCUUUUGUACAGAACGAAAAGGUUUCUACUAAUACUAGGAGCUCAUGACGGUACUGUAAGAAUAAGCACCGGCUAACUACGUGCCAGCCGCCGCAGUAA
rnacentral:rRNA from 1 species